GGAGAGGUGCGUGAGCGGCUUAAACGAAAGGUUUGCUAAACCUUGACCCCUUCGGGGGUCUCGUGGGUUCGAAUCCCACCCUCUCCG
rnacentral:tRNA from 1 species